rnacentral:lncRNA from 1 species
UACAACUCUAAAAAAAACCUAGCACCAGCAGUUCCGGCCGAUCCCCCGAACCCUAGAACUUCUACACCUCGCCCAAAUGACCCUUCAACUCCUCCUACACAGAACCAGCGAGAACGGACCCUCUCAUCUCUCUUGAUCUCUGAGAGCAACGAGCAGUAGAAUACCAUCCCCAAUAGAGAACGACCUCCCUCCCUCGUUGCACUUUCGUUCUGUUCUAUCUCGCCAACGAGCUGGCCAAAAUCCAACAGGCUUUCAUGGAGGUCGUUCCAAAGCUCCAAGAAGAAGAAACAGCCGUCGUCCAAACCUCCAACCAACGAUAGCCGCUCCCUCACCACAAACAGCCCGAAGCAGCUCCAAACCGCCAGUAACUGUCAUAGCAUCCGUUGGCUUCAUUGUUUGGUUUAAUUCGAUUUUCCGGCGAGUAUUGUUCUUCAUCUCCUUCUCCGACAGCCAUUGCUAAUCCAACUGACCCUGUUCUUGGCUUCUAGAUAUGGUCGGUUUUACAUUUUUUGGCGAUUUCCAUUAAAACGGGUGGAGAGUGUUGUUUGAGUUGAGUUUUGCCGGUUCGAGGUUCGGAUCAAUAGCUCGUUUGUUUUGAUUUGCUGUUUUCUUGAGAUCUUACUUCAUUGAUUCAUGGCAGAAAAUACGCAGCAAUAAGGUUCAUUUUCCUUUCCGAUAUUGUUCUUCUCGCUAAUGUUUUGGAUCGUUUUGUAUUGAUUUAAUUUGUAUGAUUGGGAUGAUUUUUGUUCUUAGUUUUCUUUGUUGGGACAUUACUCUUGUUGAUUACGUUUCCUCCUAGUCCAUUACUGUAAUUUUCUUAGCAAAUUAUAUUGUUAGUCUCAAUAAUAAUUUAGUUUUUCUUUCUCUAUUUUGAGUAGUUUCCUUGGUAAGCAAUUAUCUGAAAUUAGCUUUUAGGAUAAUGAAUAAUGAAUCUCGUAGUUUACUUUAGACACGUAAUUAAAGCAUCACGACUAUGAGUAUGGUUCUCGUAGCAUGGUUGUGAUACUUAAUCUCAAAUUAGCUUUAAAUAUGAAUAUCUGUAGUUGAAUGCAUUUCGUUUAAAAUAAAUUGAGGUGCGCCAUACACAAACAAAAUUCAUAUUCUAUGGCCCUCAUAUUGGUUAUCUUAACUAGUGUAAAAAUGCCUUGAAUUUUCGUAGUUUGCUUUAGGUGUGUUAAUUAAAUAAUUAUCAUAGCUACGGGUACGGUUCCCGUGACGUGGUCGUGACACUUAAUUUCUAAAAAUCCGGGGUACAUUUAUGUGACCCGGCCACAAUUUAAUCUUGUUAAUAAAAUAAACAUAUUGUAGAUCGUUGGUACGGUUCCCGUGACAAGAUUUGCAAUGUCUAAUUAAAUAAAUAUUAGUAUAAUAACUGAAUAAUUAAAAGCGGUUUAAAAGGAAUAAAAUGCACAUAGGUUUAAAAAUAUUUUAAAAUUAGACAAAUAGGUCAAUAAUAAUAGUUGAGCGACCGUGCUAAAACCACGGAACCCGUGAAUGCCUAACACCUUCUCCCGAGUUAACAAAAUUCCUUACCCGAAUUUCUGUGUUCGCAGACCAUAAAUAAGAGUCAAACUUCCUCGAUUCGGGAUUUUAAACCGAUGACUUGGGACACCAUAAAUUAUCCCAAGUGGUUACUCUGAACUUAAAUAAAUAAAUAAAUCCCAUUUCGAUUGUCACUUAAAUUGGAAAAAACUCCCUUAUACCCUUUCCGGGGGUAAGAAAAAGGAGGUGUGACAGCUCUGGCGACUCUGCUGGGGAUAAGAACCCAGAAUCUCUGGUUCAGGGUUCAAGAAUUCGAGCUUAGAAUAAUUGUUAUAUUUGGUUUUUAUUGAUUAUCUGAUUUUUAUCACAUGCUUGGGCCUAAUGUGCUAAAUGUUGCUUUUUACCGCUUUGAUAUUAUCUGAACUGUAUAUAAACUGCUACGAAACCCUUCUCUUCUCAUCUUCGGGGAUGUGCACGCUAGCGUGACUCCUUUUCUGUUAGUGUCAUACCUUNNNNNNNNNNNNNNNNNNNNNNNNNNNNNNNNNNNNNNNNNNNNNNNNNNNNNNNNNNNNNNNNNNNNNNNNNNNNNCUCGAGUUGUCCGCUCGGGUACACAAGUCUAGAAUAAUAUAACCAGGUUUUAAACCUAGAAUAACUCAGCCUCAUGUCGGAUCCCUAGUAAGAACGCUUGUUUAAUCCGUCUAGGAUAGGUGUACCCAAAAUAACAGACUAUCUUGAUGCAUCUUUGUGCUACAUGUUGCAUUUCUUCAAGGGUAAAAAGGUCAUUUGGCGUACCAAUGAUAGUUGAGGGCAAAUGAGAAAAGAAAAAAAUGAGAAAGAAAAGAGGGUGAAGUGUGAAAAUAAAGCAAGUAGGGCCUAGUUAUGUUUUUCUUUUACAUUUUUUAAGAAAAAGACAAAAAAUGAACAUGAAAAGAAAAAUCCAAAAAGAUUUUGCAUUUCCCUUUAUUUUUCAAAAAAAAAGACAAAAAUAUAUUUUCUCUAAGUUAUUUAUUAAUUUUAUUUCUCGACCGUAUCUGAUCUUACCGAACUACGCAUAUCUGAUUCUCGUCUUUCGGAGCGUGAUACGUAGGCAACCCACAUAGGGUUCUGUCUUCUUAGUGAGUCUUAGGUCCUUGGCUUAGCGGGGUCUUAGCCAAAUCUUGCAUGUCUAGUCAAUUUUGGCCACAUUGGUCAUUUUGCAAAAUAGGGCUAUUUUCACAAAGUGGUUUGUUUAACUGUGUUUGGAGAGUCUCCAAUCUGCAAUUAGGUGUCUCUUUACUUUAGAGUCCAUCCUUGUCAAAUUUGCAUGUCUACCGCUUUUGGCUGCAUAGGCCGUUUUGCAAAAUAGGGCUAUUUUCGCAAAAGUGGUUCAAUUAACCCAUGUCUUAGAGUCCUAGGUCCACAACAAGGUGUCCUCUAUGUUUAAGGCCCAUUCUGUUGAAUUUUCAUGCUUAGCCGUUUUUUUGGCCACAUUGGCCAUUUCUACAAAAUCAGUCAUUUCUGCAAAAGUAAUUUUUCCAUGUCUUAGAGGUCACCUUUGUUGAGUUUGCACUUGUAGCAGCCUUUUGACCACAUAGACUAUUUUGCACAAUCAUAUCUUGUAUGUGUCCAACAAGAAGAGUUAUUGUCUCACAUAGCGUUCUAGGUCUUUAACUUUAUUUGGUCUUAGUUUUCUCAUAUAGGUGUGGAUUUAUUUAUCAGAGUUCGAGCAUGAUAGAUACCCCGGGACCAUCCAGUCAGGAUCGCUCAUUCAGGAGUUGCUUAAAUAGAUUUUUUUUAUUUUUAUUUUUUAUGUUUUGAGUCUGUUUUUCUUUUUAUGUCGUCUUUUACCUUCUAGCUUUGUACAAUAAUGUCGAGUCUUUUGUUAUUGUAUAAUCUAUUUUGUAUUUGAAAAAGUGUGGUAUAACUCAAAAAUCCAAAAAAAAAAAGAAAUUUUGCAUUUUAUAUUUCCGUUAGAAGUUUUCUUUAGAAUACUAAUUCUAGAAAUGAAAAAAAAAGAAUUUAUUUGAGGUGGUUUUCCUUAGGAAAUAAAAAAAAUUGCUUCUAUAUUUUCUUUAGUUAUUAAGACUAAAAAUUCACACACAAAAAAAAGAAUUUUCUUUUAGUACAUCUUUAAAAGUUUUCUUUAAGACAUUAAUUCCGAAAAUCCAAAAAGAUUUUCUUUUGAGGUUCUUCUUUGAGAAAUUAAUGAAAAAUGAAUUUUAAUUUUUUUUUACUAGAACUUUAGGAAAUUGUACAUAGAAGAAUAAAAUAACAUACUUUAUUCUUUGGUUUAUUUUCAGAGUUUCUCCCUUAAUUAAAAAUUGAAAUCCAAAAACAUUUUUUUAUCUUGUUCAUUUCCUGUUUCGAAAUCUUUCCUCAGGAUAUCAAACGAAAAUUCAAAAUAUAUUUCUUUGGUUUAUUUUUUAGAUUUUCUUUCUAAAAAAAAGAAUCAAAAAAAUAUUUUCUCUUCUAGGAUUUUCCCUUAAUAAUUUCUCAUAGAAUAUUUUUUUUAAAAAAAAAAAGAAGAAGAAAACAAAUAUAUGCUCAUUAAGCUUGAGUUUAGAAUAAGUUAUAGAACAUUAAAUAUAGAAAAUUAAAAAAAAGGAUUUGCUUCUUUUGGUUCUCUUUUCUCAUCAGAGUAGUCAUUAAGGUAAAAAGAAAAGAAAAAGAGAACGUUAGUUUGUUUACUUUAUUCUCGAUCUUCCCGAACUACGCAAAGAUCUGAUUCAUGCGGCGUCAUGAUACGUAGGCAACCUACAUAGGGUUCGAUCGAAUCAUUUUUUUAUUUUUAUUAAAAGAAAAGGGAAAAAAGAAGGAAACACAAAAAAAAGAGGUGAAAUUAUGGGAUGUGAGAAAUGAGAGGAAAGAAAAGAGUGAUAAUUAGAAGAAGAAGAAAAAAGAGGAAGGAAAAUGAGCAAGCCAAGAAGUGUUAGAAAAGAAAAGAAAAUAGGAGAUUGAAAUGAAUAAAAUUGCGAUGAUGCCAAGUGACCUUGUGACCCUCGAAGUUAUUCUUGAACCGUUAAUUGUUGCUAGGUGCAUUACAUGCAAUGUGAUAUUUUUAGCUGUUAAAUGUCCUAAUGCUAACAGGAUGACCCCAUUUUGUUCUUUUUGUUAUCUUCAUUGAGAAGAAGGGUGGUUGGUUUGUGGUUCUUAAACUGGUAACUCUUCCAUACAAUACAAGGUCAAAGAGCAAGGUAGCCAUGACUAGCAAAGACUUGAACACGAGAGUUGUUGGCCCGUCGAGGGAGUUUGUGGAGUCGGAGUCUGAAUUGAAAGAGGAGGUCCAAAGGGUGAAACAACAGAUGUCAGAAAUGUAUAAGUCUUGGAUCAGGGGGUAUCAUCCACCUUCAUUCCCCACUAACUACACUGAAAACCCUGCAACUAUCCACCACUAUCACAAGCCUAGGUUCCUACUGCUGUUAAUAUCUCCCCACAACCUUUUCACACUCCACCCCUCAAAAGCACAUCAUAUCCCGCUCCUUUGGCCACUCAUGCUCUUGUAGCUCCUCCUCCAGCUACGUUUCCUCGAUCCUCUAACGAGACUGUGUUCAAACUCCCCGAUGCCCAACACUAUGCCUCAUAACCAACUUUCAAAGUCUCGGAUCCAUAUUCUCACUCUCCUCAUUUUGAGGCUCCCAAUGAAACUAAAAAACCUACUAAGACAGUGGAGCAAGAUGAGAUAUCCAGGAAGGUAAAAAUCUUAGAGCAGUCUUUAAAAAACAUGCAAGGGAUAGGGAGCCAGAUGAGCGUGGCUUACAAUGACUUGUGUUUGUUUCCUGACAUCCAACUGCCAACUGGGUUUAAGAUGCCAAAGUUUGAUUUGUAUGACGGGCACGGAGAUCCCGUGGCCGUUUUGAGAGGUUACUGCACUAAGAUGAGAGGCGCCGGUAGGAAAGACAAAUUAUUGAUGAUGUAUUUCAGUCAGAGUCUGAGUGGGGUAGCUCUGGAGUGGUACACCCGCCAAGACGUUAGCAAGUGGUACGCAUGGGACGAUAUGGCUCAGGUCUUUGCCCGGUACUUUCAGUACAAUAUAAAAAUUGUCCCGGAUCGCAUGUCCCUCACCAAGAUAGAAAAGAAGCCUAACAAAAGCUUUAGAAAAUACGGGCUUAGAUGGAGAGAGCAAGCGGCCAGAGUCAAUCCCCCGAUGGAAGAAAAAGAGAUGGUCGAGUACUUUCUUCAAGCUCAAGAGCUAACUUACUUUGGGCAUUUGAUCACGGAUAUAGGUAGGCCUUUUAAUGAUGUGGUAAAAAUAGGAGAAAUGGUAGAAGAUGGGUUGAAGUCGAGCAAGAUUAUGAGUUAUUAUGCUUUGAAAGCAACAACACAAGCAAUUCAAAAUGACAAAGGAAGCUUGUUGGGUCAGAAGGAACACGAUGAUGUUGCCAUGGUUGUUUUAGAGUCACGACAUGGUCCAAAGGGUCCGCCUCAUCAAUAUACCCAUCCUCAACCCCAACCCCAAACUUAUGCCCGAGCUCCACAUAAUCCACCUCAUUAUUAUCCUCCGAACAAUGUCCGGUCAUCUGUAAAACCACCAGAUCACUCCCUAUGGCGAGCGCCAGCACCGCAUAAUGCAUUCUUGACUUCACAACAUUUCCGAGCACCCAAAAACCCUAGAAAAUAGGUGCAGAGAGGGAAACAAAGGCAAAGAAAUAGUUUCACGCCAAUCGGGGAGUCCUACACAAACUUGUUUGAAAAGUUGAAGCAUUCUGGCCUAAUUGAGCCGCUCCUCAGCUAUACUCCAGACCCAUAUGCAAAAGGUUUUGAUCCUUCUAUACGAUGCAUGUAUCACUCUAAUGUCCAAGGGCAUAACAUUGAAGAUUAUCGUGCUUUGAAAAGGGAAAUAGAAAGAAUGAUUCAAGAAGGGGUAAUUGUGAUUAAGGACAAUGACAUGGAGCAUGCGAAUCCUCUUGGGAACUUGUUGACUGAAGUUAAUGAUAUUGAAGUUAUUAAUGGUCUUAGAAAUAUUGAUGUGGAACCUAGUGGCUAAGAUGUCGUGCUUGGUAAUUGGAAAGACGCUCUAUCUUUUGGCUAGCUGGGGAGGAAUCUUGGUGGUUUAUUUUGUUGUCAUUUCUAUUGUCCGGGUUAUUUUCAGGGUUGUAAUCCGGAUAUUGUCUUGUGACUCAAACCCUUCUAUCAUUUUAUUUCGCCUAGUUUGUUUAGUCGUAAUAGCUCGUUUAGUAUUGUCUGGUUUUGUUCCAGGAUUGUAACCCCAACUUAUUUUACUUGUUUUAUUGUUCAAACCCUUUCACCAUCUGUCUAAUGCAAUUUCCUGUUUUUUGUUAUUUCUAGUCAGUGUUUGUUUAGUUCUCUUUCCCUUUUAUAGUUCUUCUCCUGCUGACUCUAGUGACAUGGCAUGCACGAGUAAUUCUCAGCAUGGUCUUAAAAGUUAGUUUAGUCAUGUAGCAAUGAAACAAUUUUGAAGAUGAUAGGGACAUUUGAGGGAAAUAAGUAAAGGCAUUGUGAGAUCACUUCAAGCCCGAAUUGUAUGAAACUGGGGCAAAUAGAACAUAAAGAAACACUAUUGAAACGCAUCCUGCCGCAUCACGUUGAAGCCAAAGGCAAGUUUGCCCCAAAUUGGCAGGGGCCGUUCGUGGUAACGAGAGUGUUGUCCAAUGGUGCUUUGUAUUUAACAGAUGUAGAAGGAAAAUGUGUGGAUAUGGUCAUCAAUUCUGAUGCAGUCAAAAGAUAUUAUGUAUGAUUUCUUUGGUUUGUUUAAUUGUGUUGUUUGUAUUUGGUAUGCUUUGAAGAUUGGAAUGACGAAGGCAUUUUAUUCUGUUAUCUAAACUCUUUAUUCUUUGUUACCCCUUUGAGCCUUAUUUAUUUUCUUUCAUAUCCCUCUUUUGGAAUCAGAAGCAGAGUUUAGAAAUAUGAUACACGAAAAAAGGAGAGAAAAGAAAAAAAAGAAAAAGAGAAAAAGAGAAAGAAAAAAUGAAAAAAAAGAGUAAAGAAAAGAAAAGAAAAGAGAAAAAGAAAAAAAGAGAGAAAAGUACAAAACAAAGCAAUUCCUAUGACAUGAACUACGUUCGACCUGAUUUCUUUUAAGGAUACAUAGGCAGCCUCACGGUUCGGUCCCAUCAAAAUAAAAUUUUAAAAGUCCCAAAGAAAAGAAACUGGGACAGAAGUUGUGGUUGACGCAAGAGAUCUGAUUCUAAAAGUUAUAAUUUUGAGCCCUUUUAAGCUGUUUUUGAGCCUUUAUGAUACCCUUUGUUUCUAAUCCUAUCCAAAAGCCUACACUACGGUCCAAAGAAAGACCUUCCGAUCAAUCUUUGAGUAGUGCCAAGUCAAGCAAGUUAGAGGUAUGUUCUCCUCAGGGGCGACACUCCGUUCUACAAAAGGAAAGCAAAAAUGAGAGAGCCUUGUCAGUGAAAAUCUUCACAGGCACCAUAAGGCGACGGUAAGUUGAGGGAAAGAACAAAAUAAGAGAGGCUUGAUGGUAAAAACCCUUCGGGCAUUACAAGUCGAAUAAGGACCAUGAAUCAGAUAGGAUAAUCGGAGCAUUGAAGCCGAGUUUCACGACUCAGAGGUACAAUAGGAGUUGAAUAUUAGACUUGCUUGACAUAUUAGGCCACUUAAUCAAAAUGUGCAUGUCAUGGUCAUUAGAGUUGGUGCCCACAUCUGAUAAGUUUCUACUUUAUAAUUUUCUUGUUAGGUAUCAUCUCUUUCCAUUGUCCCUUACUUUGUUCCUUUUGUCUUGUUUACUUCCUCUUCUUGAGUCUGUUUGGUCAAAACAAGUAAGAAAUGACUUCAAAAUUUGCCACCAACUUUCCAAUUGCACAAAACGGGAUCUGGCUAGCACAUCAAAGCGACAUAAGUCAGGAAAGAGCGGUAUACGCAUUGAAUGGAUAACAAUCGACGUGCUUUGGGAUUCAUGAGAAAUGCAAAGGUUGGGUAAAUGUCAAUUCAUGAGCGAAAUGCAACAGAUAGAAGGUAUAGAGUUUGAAUGAAUCAGAAGUAUUUUCUAUGAUAAAGGUGAUAGAUAAAGUGGUUAGUCAAUAAACAGGCAAGGUCUUUCAAGUUGAAAUCAAGGUUAUCAUGGCAAGUGAAGGAGCAAUCGCCCGCAAAGUCAAGGCUACAAACCAACCACCAUAUUUAAACUCACAAGUUUUCUUUGUCUGAAACAUGGAUGAAAUCUAUGUUCUUAUCAAAGCUUGGAAGCUUAAAUUUUUCAGGUGUAAUGCCCCAGUUCUGCUUACGCAAAGGCUAUUGAGAAGAUCACACAUCACCCCUAGGAGAAACACGUCCAAGUCUGGGGUUUUCAAGUUAUAUUUUGUUGUAGGAGAUGCACUUCCUAAAUUGAGUUCACCCUUAGGAUAUGCACUUCCUAGCCUGAGUCUUUAAGGUUAUAUUUUUCUUAGGAGACGCACUUCUUAAAUUAAGAUUUUUUACCAUUAAGAGGCACACUUCCUUGUUUAGAUCAUAUGAGUUUUAGUUAUUGAAGUUUUCACCCCUACGAAAACGCACUUCCUAGUCUUGGUCAUUUAAAUUCACCCCUAGGAGACACACGUCCUAGUUGGAGUCAUUGAAAUUUUACCCGUUAAGAGACGCACUUCCUAGCAGGGAUCUUUCAGAUUAUACUAUUUAGGAGACACACUUCCUAGCUUUGGUCAUUUAAAUUCAUUCCUAGGAGACGCACUUCCUAGCUUGAGUCAUUGAUGUUUCACCCCUAGGAGACACACUUCCUAAUCUGGGUCUUUCAGGUUAUAUUUUUGUUUCAUGAGACGCACUUCCUAAAUUGAGUUUCACCCCUAGGAGACGCACUUCCUAGUAUAGGUAUUUCAGGAUACACUUUCAGGAGACGCACUUUCUAAAUUGAGUUUCACCCCUAGGAGACGGACUUCCUAAAUUGAGUUUCACCCCUAGGAAACGCACUUCCUAGUCUGGGUCUUUCAAGAUACACUUUCAGGAGACGCACUUCCUAAAUUGAGAUUUCACCCCUAGGAGACGCACUUCCUAGUCUGGGUUGUUCAGGAUAUACUUUUAGGAGAUGCACUUCCUAAACCGAGAUUUUACCCCUAGGAGACGCACUUCCUAGUGUGAGUCAUACAAGUUUUACCCCUAGGAGAUGCACUUUCUAGUUUGGUUCAUUCAAGUUUCACCCAUGGGGGACAGACUUCCUGAUAUGGGGCAUUCAGUUUUUAUUUUUAGCAGACGCAUUUGCUGGUCAAAGUUUCUUGGUUUUACUCACAGGAGACGCACAUCCUAGUCUAGUCUUUAGUUUACUCUCAUCAUUGCAUCAAUAGUAUAAGUAGUUUACAAUAUUGCUAACAACUCACAAAUCUUCCUAGUGCAAACUAGGGCAGAAAAUUUUGUUUGUUUUGUUUGUUUUGAUUGCAGGCACCCACAUGGAGAACAAGUGAACACAGAAAAUUCAGCAAUCAGGCGCCCACCUGAAGAACAAGGAAAGACAGUUCAAGUUUCAAGGGAAAGCAGUUCCGAGAGAACACAGAAAGUUUCAGCAAUCAGGCGCCCACCUAGAGAACAAGGGAAGACAGUUCAAGUUUCAAGGGAAGACAGUGCAAGUUUCAAGGGAAAGCAGUUCCGAGGGAACACAGAAAGUUUCAGCAAUCAGCACCCACCUGGAGAACAAGGGAAGACAGUUCAAGUUUCAAGGGAAAACGAUUCAAGUUUCGAAGGAAGACAGUUCAAGUUUUGGCAAUCAAGCACCCGCCUAGAAAACAAGGGAAUUCACUUCAGAAUGCAAUUCAAGUCAGCAACAAAAAAAGCUCACAGCAAGAAUGCGAGUCAGCAGUCCGAGAUGAUUAACGAAAGUUAGUCACAAUCCAGAAUAAAAAAAGGCAAGAAGUGAAUCCAAAUGCAGAAGUUGAUGAAAGAUGUGAGCUACUCAAGACAUGACUGAAGUCACAAGCACGGUAUGUCCGGUUUUGAUCUGAAAAGCUGAAGAAGAAUGGACUAGCACCUGCAACUAGCAAACAUCAGGGUUCAAAUCCAAAGUCUGCAUGAAGAACCAUUCAACACUCAAGAUCAAGCUUCAGAAGACUUAUAUAUAGGAAUCUUGUAACUCAUAGUUGACAGGCUUAGUUAGUAUUUUUUUUUUGAUGUAAUAACAGGAUCGCGGACCGGAACCUCGACGGAAUGACACCUCGAUCGGCUCUCCACCUCGGUACUCCAUCACUCUUUCUAAUUCUGAACUACACGUGGCCUGAUUCCUUUAUAGCCAAGGGCAUGUAGGCAGCUCAGAUACCAGGGCUCGGUCACAUUCUCUUCCUUUCUCUUAGUUUUUGGUCUCCCUAAAUAAGGGUCGGGUCAAAGAGGGGCAGCUGUAGACAUGUGAUUUUUGACCCUCCCCAAGAUUUUUCAUAUUUUAGCAUGUAAAUGUUUAUUUUAGGCCUAAUAUCGCUAUUUUAAUUAGUUUUGACCCUUUUACUUUAUUUUCUCACAAAAAAUGAAAAUUACAAAAACAAAUAGUUUCAUUAAGGUUUUGUAGUCAUUUUUAAUCUUGAAAAAUACCAAAAAAAUAGGUUUGUUUUAAACGGUUAGUGUUAUUUUAAUAGUUAUUUUCUUAAGUAAGAUUAAGUAGUAUUUUUAAUAGUUAUCUUGUUUGCUAUAUUAUUUUUACAUACAAAAAGGAGGAGGGAAUAGAAUUAAUUUUUUUGGACUAAUUUAGUCUUGCUUGUAGCCCAAUUAAACCAAUCUCUUAUCCCAUUAACUCAAAAGCCCAAACCUAGACACCCCUUUAGAAUAAUAUGCAAGAAAAAUAAAAAUAAAAACCCUAGACCUAGACUUUAGCACAUCAGUCGUUUUUUACAUGGAAGAAACUCUUCAUCUUCCUUAGAGAAAACCCUAGAGGACCUAAUCUUGAAGACCAAGCAACCAUGAGAGAUACAACUCUAAAAAAAACCUAGCACCAGCAGUUCCGGCCAACCCUCCUUCCCCGAACCCUAGAACUUUUACACCUCGCCCAAACGACCCUUGAACUCCUCCUACACAGAACCAGCGAGAACGUACCCUCUCAUCUCUCUCGAUAUUUGAGAGCAACGAGUAUUAGAAUAGCAUCCCCAAUAAAGAACGACCUCCCUCCCUCGUUGCACUUUCGUUCUGUUCUAUCUCGCCAACGAGCUGGCCAAAAUCCAACAGGCUUUCAUGGAGGUCGUUCCAAAGCUCCAAGAAGAAGCAACAACC